GCAGUGGUGGUUCAGUGGUGGAAUUCCCGCCUUCCAUGGGGAAGACACAGGUUUGAUUCCUGGUCAAUGCA
rnacentral:tRNA from 1 species